rnacentral:rRNA from 1 species
AGCAGUCGCCGCGGGAAUACGUAGGGCGCAAGCGUUAUCCGGAAUUAUUGGGCGUAAAGAGCUCGUAGGCGGUUUGUCGCGUCUGCCGUGAAAGUCCGGGGCUCAACCCCGGAUCUGCGGUGGGUACGGGCAGACUAGAGUGAUGUAGGGGAGACUGGAAUUCCUGGUGUAGCGGUGAAAUGCGCAGAUAUCAGGAGGAGCACCGAUGGCGAAGGCAGGUCUCUGGGCAUUAACUGACGCUGAGGAGCGAAAGCAUGGGGAGCGAACAGGAUUAGAUACCCCUGUAGUCCCUGUCUCUUAUAC